UCACGACCUUACUCUUGCCAGGCAGGCGCUGCGCCGCUGAGCUAAAUCCCCAGCCCUGAAACAGUUCCUGAACAUCACAUACUUCUUCAACAGAGAUACAAAAUUCCGGAACAUCUGCAUAGACAUAAUGUGGUAUCUUGGAAAUAAGACCCAAAUCUAAACACUGAA